GCCACUGUGGCAUAAUGGUUUGAGUGUUAGACUGUGACUCUAGAGACCCGAGUUCAGUUCCCCACUCAGCCA